rnacentral:rRNA from 1 species
GCUCAACCGGGGAGGGUCAUUGGAAACUGGGGAACUUGAGUGCAGAAGAGGAGAGUGGAAUUCCACGUGUAGCGGUGAAAUGCGUAGAGAUGUGGAGGAACACCAGUGGCGAAGGCGACUCUCUGGUCUGUAACUGACGCUGAGGAGCGAAAGCGUGGGGAGCGAACAGGAUUAGAUACCCUGGUAGUCCACGCCGUAAACGAUGAGUGCUAAGUGUUAGGGGGUUUCCGCCCCUUAGUGCUGCAGCUAACGCAUUAAGCACUCCGCCUGGGGAGUACGGUCGCAAGACUGAAACUCAAAGGAAUUGACGGGGGCCCGCACAAGCGGUGGAGCAUGUGGUUUAAUUCGAAGCAACGCGAAAAACCUUACCAGGUCUUGACAUCCUCUGGCAAUCCUAAAGAUAGGACGUCCCCUUCGGGGGCAGAGUGACAGGUGGUGCAUGGUUGUCGUCAGCUCGUGUCGUGAGAUGUUGGGUUAAGUCCCGCAACGAGCGCAACCCUUGAUCUUAGUUGCCAGCAUUCAGUUGGGCACUCUAAGGUGACUGCCGGUGACAAACCGGAGGAAGGUGGGGAUGACGUCAUAUCAUCAUGCCCCUUAUGACCUGGGCUACACACGUGCUACAAUGGACAGAACAAAG